GGUCGUAGGCGAUGGACAGCAGGUAGAGAUUCCUGCACCACUUACACUUGUUUGACGAAGCAGUGACACAGAAGGAUAGGACGAGCGCGGUGAUGGUCAACCGCGUAGGCGGCACGAGGCCGGGAAGCAGUGAAGUACACUUCCCGCAAAGGCUGAGUGUUGACAGGACCGAAAAGAAGUAGGGAAGCGUCCGAGUUCACGCUGGCGAGAAAAGCUGCUAAGGAGAGUGUGAGUGCCCGUACCGGAAACCGACGCAGGUGGGCGAGGAGAGAAUCCUGAGACGGACGGGAGAACUCUUGUUAAGGAACUCGGCAAAAUGACCCCGUAACUUCGGGAGAAGGGGUGCCUCGAAAGAGGCCGCAGAGAAUAGUCACAAGCGACUGUUUAGCAAAAACACAGGUAUCUGCGAAAGCGAGAGCUGACGUAUAGGUGCUGACGCCUGCCCGGUGCUGGAAGGUUAAGGGGAAGUGUUAGGGGAAACCCGAAGCAGAGAACCGAAGCCCCAGUAAACGGCGGCCGUAACAAUAACGGUCCUAAGGUAGCGAAAUUCCUUGUCGGGUAAGUUCCGACCCGCACGAAUGGCGUAACGACUUGUGAGCUGUCUCAACAGGAGGCCCGGUGAAAUUGAAGUAUGUGUGAAGAUGCACAUUACCCGCGACUGGACGGAAAGACCCCGUAGAGCUUUACUGUAACCUGACAUUGGAUCUUGAUAACGGAUGCACAGGAUAGGUGGGACGCUGGGAGACGAGGACUUUGGUUUUCGUGGAGCGGCCGUUGGGAUACCACUCUUCUGUUAUUGAGAUUCUAACCUCAAGCCGUGAGCCGGAUGAGAGACAGUGUCAGGCGGACAGUUUGACUGGGGCGGUCGCCUCCGAAAGAGUAACGGAGGCGCCCAAAGGUACCCUCAGAAUGGAUGGAAACCAUUCGAAGAGAGCAAAGUCAGAAGGGUGCUUGACUGCGAGACCAACAAGUCGAGCAGGUACGAAAGUAGGGCUUAGUGAUCCGGCGGUAAGAGAGUGGAAUUGCCGUCGCUCAACGGAUAAAAGCUACCUCGGGGAUAACAGGCUGAUCUCCCCCAAGAGUUCACAUCGACAGGGAGGUUUGGCACCUCGAUGUCGGCUCGUCGCAUCCUGGGGCUGAAGCAGGUCCCAAGGGUUUGGCUGUUCGCCAAUUAAAGCGGCACGCGAGCUGGGUUCAGAACGUCGUGAGACAGUUCGGUCCCUAUCCAUCGUGGGCGAAGGACACAUGAGAGGAGCUGCUCCUAGUACGAGAGGACCGGAGUGGACGCAUCACUGGUGCAACUGUUGUCGUGCCAACGGCACAGCAGGGAAGCGAAAUGCGGACGGGAUAAACGCUGAAGGCAUCUAAGCGUGAAGCCCACCUCAAGAAUAAGUGUCCCAUUCGAAAGAAGUAAGACCCCUGGAAGACUACCAGGUGAUAGGUCAUCGGUGAAAGAGUGGUAACAUUUGGAGCUUGAUGAUACUAAUCGGUCGAGGACUUGAUCU
rnacentral:rRNA from 1 species